GUUCAAGAAGUCAUCGCAGAAUGAACGGAGUUCAAGAAGAUGACAACAGUCGUCCCAAGUUAGCUGAUGAAUUCUACCAAGUUGAAGCCAUCAGAAAGAAAAGAUGUUACAAGGGAAAGUGCAGUACUUGGUGAAAUGGUUUGGAUGGCCUCAGAAAACCAACACUUAGGAACCGGUGGAGAAUCUGUUAAGUUGUUCAGAUCUCAUUGACAAAUUCAAUGAAAGGCGAAUGUAGAAAAGCAAAUGAAGAUGGCUGGUGUUGUUCGAACCGAUGGGAAGAAUGGGUGAAACUAUGUAGCAAAGGAAAGGAAAAUAAUUGAAAUGACAAUAGAGAAAUGACAAAGCACUAUGAGGUUAAUACUGCACCUUUUUUUCAUAGUAUUUAACUACUAGCAAAAGUGUGCUAGUUGUUAUUUUAUUUUAUUAUAUUCUCAUUAUCUUAUAGCAAAUGAGUUUCCCUUAGUAAUUCGACUAUGCUAAUAUUGGAAUAUGUAAAUGCACCUCAUGAUGAUAAAUGCGGGAAGCGGCUUCUCGAAGACUCGAUGAAGAUUUGCAGAUCCCGCAUAUAUCAAGGGGGAGUCUGUAAGUGCACCAAAGUUUGAAAGUGUCACAAGUUUGGACAAGGGUUCUUAUACAUAUGAGAACUUGUGGGUUUAGAGUGUCAGUACUUGCAAUCUUUUAUAUGGUGAGUACUUGUGGUUCUCUAAAAGGUGCGAGCUUGUGUUGUCUAGUUAGUGGUGAGUACUUAUUUGUUAAAUAAUGAAGCUUUAUUGUUAGGUCUAUGAUGUCCGAACAUAUGAUUGUAUAUAAGCUUUGUGAUGUAUGCAAUCAUUAGACAUUCAAUGAAACAAUGAUAUUUUGGAGAAAACUUCUUGUGUAAACAAACCCUAGCUUUGUGUUCUUUAUUUAAUCUAUGUGAUUGUUGAUUGUGAAUACUCUGUGUACUCACGAUUCUCUCAUCUUCUACACCUUAUGUACGAGCUCUACGUUGCGGUACGAGGCACGCGGUGGUUUUUGCACAUCGUGUGUGUGUUCGAUCUGUCCGGUUCGUGUGUUUGUUGAAGGAAGACAACCUUACAAGUGGUAUUAGAGCAGGGAGUAGGCUCUAUAUACAGAGGGCUCUUACCCCUGUAGACUUCGUGUUGGAGGAAACUUUAAGUAUAAGUAUUGAAGAAAAAGAUGAUCAUCCUGAUCUUAAGAUGAAGAUACAGUCAAGGAGUAUUGCUAAAAAGGUGCCUACAUGAUAUCUUAACAAGAAGAAAAGAAAGAUACAUCUUCAACUAAGCAUCAGGAGAAGAUCAAAACAAAGAAGACAAUCAGAUAAAACCUUUCUAAUGAAGUCUGAUGAUAAAUCUGGUAUUUAUCAUCACAAUCUGGUAAAGUCUAAUCAACAGAAAUCUAGUGAUCGAGUUCAUCAGUAGUCACCAGAAAUUCUCGUAGACCCACUUGUCUUCGAGAUAAGGCCUGACACAAACCCAAAAAGGAGCAAGUUGGCAAUAACCGAUUCAAUGAAUAUGCCAAAAAGUCCCUUUGUGCAGAGCAAGUUGUUUAUUCAGAUCUGGAAUUUCUAUAAAUAGAGAUGUCAAAUCCCGGAGGAUAAAUGAGUUGUGCUUAGCAUUCAAUACACACACUACA